rnacentral:ncRNA from 1 species
AAUGAUUAGAGGUUCUGGGGACUAUGUUGUCCUCGACCUAUUCUCAAACUUUAAAUGGGUCUGCCAAUGCUCUAGUUAAAUCAGAGCAGUGGGCAAAUGUUUUGUUUUAGUGGGCCAGUUUUGGUAAGCAGAACUGGCGAUGAGGGAUGCUCCUAACGUCUGAAUAAGGUGUCUAACGUGGGCUGAUCAGAUACCACAAAAGGUGUUGGU